AUGGUGCUCUCCACCGUCCUGCUCGCGGCAGGCAUCACGCUGAUGCUCGUCGUGCACAUCCUCGUGGUCCUCUGGGUGCUGAGGCGGGGCAUGACCGCCCGCGUCGCCGAGCACGCGGAAGAAGACGCAGGCCUUACUGCCGAAGAGCUCGGCGAGCUGCCAUGCCACGACUUCAAAGAAGGCGGCGCCGGCGAGUGCGCGGUGUGCCUGGAGGCCUUCAACGCCGGCGAACGUUGCAUGGUGCUGCCGCGGUGCGAGCACGGGUUCCACGCCGAGUGCGUCGGCUCGUGGCUGCGCAAGAGCCGCCUGUGCCCCAUCUGCCGCGCCGAGGUGGCCGGCGCAGUGGCCGCCGAGGUCGUCGUGGAGGUCGCUGCUGCCUGA
rnacentral:rRNA from 1 species